rnacentral:rRNA from 1 species
AUGCGUUGUUGGGUAGGGGAGCGUUCUGUAAGCCUGUGAAGGUGUGCUGUGAGGCAUGCUGGAGGUAUCAGAAGUGCGAAUGCUGACAUAAGUAACGAUAAAGCGGGUGAAAAGCCCGCUCGCCGGAAGACCAAGGGUUCCUGUCCAACGUUAAUCGGGGCAGGGUGAGUCGACCCCUAAGGCGAGGCCGAAAGGCGUAGUCGAUGGGAAACAGGUUAAUAUUCCUGUACUUGGUGUUACUGCGAAGGGGGGACGGAGAAGGCUAUGUUGGCCGGGCGACGGUUGUCCCGGUUUAAGCGUGUAGGCUGGUUUUCCAGGCAAAUCCGGAAAAUCAAGGCUGAGGCGUGAUGACGAGGCACUACGGUGCUGAAGCAACAAAUGCCCUGCUUCCAGGAAAAGCCUCUAAGCAUCAGGUAACAUCAAAUCGUACCCCAAACCGACACAGGUGGUCAGGUAGAGAAUACCAAGGCGCUUGAGAGAACUCGGGUGAAGGAACUAGGCAAAAUGGUGCCGUAACUUCGGGAGAAGGCACGCUGAUAUGUAGGUGAAGUCCCUCGCGGAUGGAGCUGAAAUCAGUCGAAGAUACCAGCUGGCUGCAACUGUUUAUUAAAAACACAGCACUGUGCAAACACGAAAGUGGACGUAUACGGUGUGACGCCUGCCCGGUGCCGGAAGGUUAAUUGAUGGGGUUAGCCGCAAGGCGAAGCUCUUGAUCGAAGCCCCGGUAAACGGCGGCCGUAACUAUAACGGUCCUAAGGUAGCGAAAUUCCUUGUCGGGUAAGUUCCGACCUGCACGAAUGGCGUAAUGAUGGCCAGGCUGUCUCCACCCGAGACUCAGUGAAAUUGAACUCGCUGUGAAGAUGCAGUGUACCCGCGGCAAGACGGAAAGACCCCGUGAACCUUUACUAUAGCUUGACACUGAACAUUGAGCCUUGAUGUGUAGGAUAGGUGGGAGGCUUGGAAGUGUGGACGCCAGUCUGCAUGGAGCCGACCUUGAAAUACCACCCUUUAAUGUUUGAUGUUCUAACGUUGACCCGUAAUCCGGGUUGCGGACAGUGUCUGGUGGGUAGUUUGACUGGGGCGGUCUCCUCCUAAAGAGUAACGGAGGAGCACGAAGGUUGGCUAAUCCUGG